rnacentral:rRNA from 1 species
AGCGAACGCUGGCGGCAGGCCUAACACAUGCAAGUCGAACGAACUCUUCGGAGUUAGUGGCGGACGGGUGAGUAACACGUGGGAAUGUGCCUUUAGGUUCGGAAUAACUCAGGGAAACUUGUGCUAAUACCGAAUGUGCCCUUCGGGGGAAAGAUUUAUCGCCUUUAGAGCGGCCCGCGUCUGAUUAGCUAGUUGGUGAGGUAAAGGCUCACCAAGGCGACGAUCAGUAGCUGGUCUGAGAGGAUGAUCAGCCACAUUGGGACUGAGACACGGCCCAAACUCCUACGGGAGGCAGCAGUGGGGAAUCUUGCGCAAUGGGCGAAAGCCUGACGCAGCCAUGCCGCGUGAAUGAUGAAGGUCUUAGGAUUGUAAAAUUCUUUCACCGGGGACGAUAAUGACGGUACCCGGAGAAGAAGCCCCGGCUAACUUCGUG